GAAACGACUGCUAAUACCGCAUAAGCGCACAGGAUUGCAUGAUCCGGUGUGAAAAACUCCGGUGGUAUGGGAUGGACCCGCGUCUGAUUAGCCAGUUGGCAGGGUAACGGCCUACCAAAGCGACGAUCAGUAGCCGACCUGAGAGGGUGACCGGCCACAUUGGGACUGAGACACGGCCCAAACUCCUACGGGAGGCAGCAGUGGGGAAUAUUGCACAAUGGGGGAAACCCUGAUGCAGCGACGCCGCGUGAGCGAAGAAGUAUUUCGGUAUGUAAAGCUCUAUCAGCAGGGAAGAAGAAUGACGGUACCUGACUAAGAAGCACCGGCUAAAUACGUGCCAGCAGCCGCGGUAAUACGUAUGGUGCAAGCGUUAUCCGGAUUUACUGGGUGUAAAGGGAGCGCAGGCGGUGCGGCAAGUCUGAUGUGAAAGCCCGGGGCUCAACCCCGGUACUGCAUUGGAAACUGUCGUACUAGAGUGUCGGAGGGGUAAGUGGAAUUCCUAGUGUAGCGGUGAAAUGCGUAGAUAUUAGGAGGAACACCAGUGGCGAAGGCGGCUUACUGGACG
rnacentral:rRNA from 1 species